CAAAAGUUUGGUCCUGACUUUAUUAUCAGCUUUAGCCUGGCUUACACAUGCAAGUAUCCGCGCCCCUGUGAGAAUGCCCUUGGCUCCCCACUACGGGAACAAGGAGCUGGUAUCAGGCACAGAUUUCUAGCCCACGACACCUUGCUCAGCCACACCCCUAAGGGAGACAGCAGUGAUAAACAUUAAUUAUAAGUGAAAACUUGACUUAGUCAAGGCUCACAGGGUCGGUCAACCUCGUGCCAGCCACCGCGGUUAUACGAGGGACCCAAGUUGAUAAAUAUCGGCGUAAAGUGUGGUUAGGGGUAUAAUCAAACUAAAGCCGAACGCCCCCCGCACUGUUAUACGUUUGCUGGGGGUAAGAAGCCCACUUACGAAAGUAGCUUUAUUUUACCUGAACCCACGAAAGCUGAGGGACAAACUGGGAUUAGAUACCCCACUAUGCUCAGCCCUAAACACUGACAGCCUAAUACACCUGCUGUCCGCCUGGGUACUAUCAGCACCUUGCUAGAAACCCAAAGGACUUGGCGGUGCUUUAGAUCCACCUAGAGGAGCCUGUCCUAGAACUGAUAAUCCCCGUUCAACCUCACCCCUUCUGCCAACUCCGUCUAUAUACCGCCGUCGUAAGCUUACCCCGUGAGGGUUCAAUAGUAAGCAUAAUUGGUACAACCCAGAACGUCAGGUCGAGGUGUAGCGUAUGAAGGGGGAAGAGAUGGGCUACAUUCUCUGACCGCAGAGAAUACGAAUUAUGUGUUGAAAUCACACGUUAUGAAGGAGGAUUUAGUAGUAAGUACGAAACUAGAAUGUUCUGCUGAAAUCGGCCCUGAAGCGCGCACACACCGCCCGUCGUUCCCUCCAAGGUUAAUUCACUGCUAAUAAUUAAGAAAUUAGAACAACAGAGGAGGGGUAAGUCGUAACAUGGUAAGUGUACCGGAAGGUGUACUUGAGAAAAGC
rnacentral:ncRNA from 1 species